rnacentral:rRNA from 1 species
GACGAACGCUGGCGGCGUGCUUAACACAUGCAAGUCGAACGGAAAGGCCCUGCUUUUGUGGGUUGCUCGAGUGGCGAACGGGUGAGUAACACGUGAGUAACCUGCCCUUGACUUUGUGAUAACUUCCGGAAACUGGGGCUAAUACCGGAUAGGAGCUCCUGCUGCAUGGUGGGGGUUGGAAAGUUUCGGCGGUUGGGGCUGGACUCGCGGCUUAUCAGCUUGUUGGUGGGGUAGUGGCUUACCAAGGCUUUGACGGGUAGCCGGCCUGAGAGGGUGACCGGCCACAUUGGGACUGAGAUACGGCCCAGACUCCUACGGGAGGCAGCAGUGGGGAAUAUUGCACAAUGGGCGGAAGCCUGAUGCAGCAACGCCGCGUGCGGGAUGACGGCCUUCGGGUUGUAAACCGCUUUCGCCUGUGACGAAGCGUGAGUGACGGUAAUGGGUAAAGAAGCACCGGCUAACUACGUG